rnacentral:rRNA from 1 species
AUUGAACGCUGGCGGCAGGCCUAACACCUGCAAGUCGAACGAGUGGCGGACGGGGGAGUAAUGUCUGGGAAACUGCCCGAUGGAGGGGGAUAACUACUGGAAACGGUAGCUAAUACCGCAUACCAUCGGAUGUGCCCAGAUGGGAUUGGCCGGGAGGUGGGGUAAUGGCUCACCUAGGCGACGAUCCCUAGCUGGUUUGAGAGGAUGACCAGCCACACUGGAACUGAGACACGGUCCAGACUCCUACGGGAGGCAGCAGUGGGGAAUAUUGCACAAUGGGCGCAAGCCUGAUGCAGCCAUGCCGCGUGUAUGAAGAAGGCCUUCGGGUUGUAAAGUACUUUCAGCGAGGAGGCGUUACUCGCAGAAGAAGCACCGGCUAACUCCGUGCCAGCAGCCGCGGUAAUUC